rnacentral:lncRNA from 1 species
GAGUUUCCGGGGGUGUGUUUGGAGGAGUUUCUGGUGGUGUGGUUGGAGGUGUCUUUGGUGUGUUUGGAGGAGUUCCCGGUGGUGUGUUUGGAGGUGUUUCUGGUGGAGUAUUUGGAGGACUUUGUGGGGGGGUGUUUGGUGGAGUUUCUGGUGGUGUGAUUGGAGGAGUUUCUGGUGGUGUGGUUGGAGGUGUCUCCGGUGGUGUGUUUGGAGGAGUUCCUGGUGGUGUGUUUGGAAGUGUCUCUGGUGGUGUGUUUGGAGGAGUUCCCGGUGGUGUGUUUGGAGGUGUUUCUGGUGGAGUAUUUGGAGGACUUUGUGGGGGGGUGUUUGGUGGAGUUUCUGGUGGUGUGAUUGGAGGAGUUUCUGGUGGUGUUGUUGGAGGUGUCUCCGGUGGUGUGUUUGGAGGAGUUCCUGGUGGUGUGUUUGGAAGUGUCUCCGGUGGUGUGUUUGGAGGAGUUCCCGGUGGUGUGUUUGGAGGUGUUUCUGGUGGAGUAUUUGGAGGACUUUGUGGGGGUGUGUUUGGUGGAAUUUCCGGUGGUGUGGUUGGAGAAGUUUCCGGUGGUGUGUUUGGAGAAGUUUCUGGUGGUGUGGUUGGAGGUGUCUCCGGUGGUGUGGUUGGAGGUGUCUCCGGUGGUGUGUUUGGAGGAGUUCCCGGUGGUGUGUUUGGAGGUAUUUCCGGUGGAGUGUUUGGAGGACUUUCUGGGGGCGUGUUUGGUGGAGUUUCUGGUGGUGUUGUUGGAGGUGUCUCCGGUGGCGUGUUUGGUGGAAGCGUUGGUGGAGUCUGUGGUGGUGUGUUAGGAGGUAUUUCCGGUGGUAUGGUCGGAGGUGUCUGUGGUGGUAGGGUUGGUGGACCUGUUGGUAAAACUUCCGUAG